rnacentral:misc_RNA from 1 species
GAUGAAGAACGUAGCGAAAUGCGAUAAGUAAUGUGAAUUGCAGAAUUCCGUGAAUCAUCGAAUUUUUGAACGCAUAUUGCGCCCUCUGGUAUUCCGAAGGGCAUGCCUGUUCGAGCGUCAUUAUCACCCCUCAAGCCCUCGGCUUGGUGUUGGACGGUUUGGUGGAGGCCCCCUCGGGGGUUCCUGCCCCUCCCAAAGACAAUGACGGCGGCCUCGUUGGACCCCCGGUACACUGAGUUCUUCACGGGACACGUAUCGGACACAUGGGUUUACGGGACACGGUCUGCCUCCCCUCAGGGAGAAUCUUUCUAAGGUUGACCUCGGAUCAGGUAGGGAUACCCGCUGAACUUAAGCAUAUCAAUAAGCGGAGGA